GAAAAUGCGAUAUGCAAUGUGAAUUGCAGAACCACGAAUCAUCAGAUCUUUGAACGCAUCUGGCGCCGAUAUAAUCGGCAUACUUGUUUCAGUGUGCUUAAACAACUAAAACCUAAAUGUAGGAGAAAAUCUCCUAUGAAAUUAUUGUAGCUGUCACAUUUAUUUGUGAGCUAAUGACUUAAUGUCACCUGAAAUCAAGUAAGAUGACCCGCUGGACUUAA
rnacentral:misc_RNA from 1 species